GUGUUAUAUAUUUUAGUAGAGUGACAAGUAAAGAAGAAAGUAUGUAUCAUAGUUAUGAGCUUGAAACUCUUGCGGUCGUGGAAUCCUUGCGUCGUUUUUGUGUAUACACCGUCGGGUCUGGUCAUUAAGAUUGUUACUGACUGUGAAGCAGUCCGCGCUAUGUUUACUAAACGUGAUAUUAUACCAGUUCGCAAGUCAAGCGGGCAAGAAGAACUGGCAAGAAACUAUACGACAGUCUUUCAAUAUGUAUAAGAUCCCCUUUAUCGCCCUUGAUGCCGGGAGGCCCGGCGACCCCAGGAGGGCCAGCUGGGCCUGGAGCUCCCGGAGGACCCAUCAUCUGAAACAUUUUAUUAACGCAUAUUAAAACCAUACCCAUAACCAUACAUCAUACAUAACCAUAACUAAACAUCAUAAACAUCGUGUAGUAACAGCAUGAAAUGUCAAGUACUCUGCAAUGACGCCACACAAUGGGCUUAAAAAUUCCAACCGCUAAGGAUAUCUAAAACUUCUCGACCUAAGCCACUGGGCCUUGGGCCAGUCAGUGGUUAGACUGGUCGAUGUUCGUCCCUUCAGGUUGGAGGAAUCUUCCAUACUUACAUUGCUUGAUGUCAUGUUUAAAUAAUUUACGAGUUAUUUCAACUCGAAACCGGCGUUAUAGCAAAAAUGUUUCCUGUUUACCGGUUAAAAUAAACAAGAUACCUCUUGUA